GACGUAGGGCGCGAGCGUUGUCCGGAUUUAUUGGGCGUAAAGAGCUCGUAGGUGGUUUGUCGCGUUGUCCGUGAAAACUCACAGCUUAACUGUGGGCGUGCGGGCGAUACGGGCAGACUAGAGGUAUGCAGGGGAGAACGGAAUUCCUGGUGUAGCGGUGAAAUGCGCAGAUAUCAGGAGGAACACCGGUGGCGAAGGCGGUUCUCUGGGCAUUACCUGACGCUGAGGAGCGAAAGUGUGGGGAGCGAACAGG
rnacentral:rRNA from 1 species